rnacentral:rRNA from 1 species
UAGGGAAUUUUGCGCAAUGGGCGAAAUGCCUGACGCAGUGACGUCACGUGUGGGAUGAAGGGUUUCGGCUGGUAAACCACUUUCAGAAGGGAAGAUGGGGUAAUCGUAUAAUAAACGAUUAUCUUGACUGUACCUUCAGAGGAAGCACCGGCUAACUACGUGCCAGCAGCCGCGGUAAUACGUAGGGUGCAAGCGUUACUCGGAAUCAUUGGGCGUAAAGGGUGUGUAGGCGGAAUGGUAAGUCAGGUGUGAAAGCCUUGGGCUCAACCCAAGAAGUGCAUUUGAUACUGUCAUUCUAGAAUUCAGGAGAGGAAGAUGGAAUUCCCGGUGUAGAGGUGAAAUCCGUAGAUAUCGGGAGGAACACCAGAGGCGAAGGCGAUCUUCUGGACUGACAUUGACGCUGAGACACGAAAGCGUGGGUAGCAAACAGG